CCUGGCGCGGCCGGGCUUCCUGCUUUUGUUCUUUUCGUGCCCUCCGAGCAGCGGGCGGAGAGGGUGACAUUGACGCUUGGAACACCCCACCACCCCCGCCCCCGUUCUGCAGAACCUUAAAAGAUUUUUUUAAAUUUUCCAAAGCCUUCUAAAUAAGAGGACGGUGUUUUUCUUCCUUCCUUUGCCGUCGACAUCACGGCCGUAGCAAUAAGCAGACAAGCUAAAAGUGGCCUGAAAACUACUUUUCACCAAACUACUGAAUCAAUGGUAUAUGUCAGGGGUGGGUUCUACUUACCUUUAUUAUCGGUUCGCAACGGGGCCAUGCAUGCGCAGAAGCAUCCUGAUGACGUCGGGGUCGGUGGACGGAGCCUCCCGCCAGUUUUACUACCGGUUCUAUAGAACCGGGGGCAACCCACCACUGGUAUAUAUGAAAAUAUUUCACUAUCAUCAAGCAUUAGCAGGAAAAUUCUUGGAGAUACCUUGAUUCUUGGAGACCGCCUGGACAAUCCCUGCAAUUUUCUUGGCAAGGUUUUUUGGAAGUGGCUUGCCAUUGCCUCCUUCCUUGGACUGAGAGACAGUGACUAGCCCAAGGUUACACUAUUGGUUUUGUACUCAAGACAUAAUGUACAGAUAAAGCCCUUCAUGGCAUGGAUCCAGGUUACAUGAGGAACUCUCACCGAGGUAGGACUACACCAGCAGAGAGGGGAUACUAUGGAUCCUGUUGAUCAAGAAAUUAUGACUGUGGAAUCCAGGAGAAGAUCAAUCUCUGACAUGGCUCCUGCCCUUUGGAAUAUCUUACUAUCUCAGAUGGUGGGAAGAUAGAAAGUCACCAUAUUUUCCCAAGCUUAUUAUAUCUGAACCAGGAAACCAAGACUCUGCUCUGAUGCCUCUUCUAACAGUUACUCUCAGAUUAUAGUAUCUUCCUAUAUAUGGCAACUCAAGAUUUUAGAAGCAUUGUCCAGAUUUUGGUGUAGAAAUGUGAUGGAGAAAAAUACUUCAACAAGGAAGUUUUCUUCCUGAGCCACAUUUGAGAAAGAACAGCAUCUUUAAUUAAGGAAUUGAUGAAAGAGUUCAGGAUUAACCAUCUUCUUGCAGUAUUGUUUCCCAACCUAAAUCAUUCUACCAGAGCAAUGUGUAGCAAGCAAGAUAAUUUGGGUUCAAGUAAACCUGAUAUUUGUUACAAGAAGACAGCAAAACCACCCAGCAGCCACAACUGGAACCCUCCAGAUGUGUCAAGACUGCAGCUUUCAGUAUUCCAUAGUCCAGUGAUGGCAAAUCUUUUUGGCACUGAAUACCCAAACCGGAACAUGCAUGUGCACAUGUAUGUGCACCAGUGGUUAUUAAUGCUAAAAGUGGGAAUUGCUAUCAAAUUGCUGAACAAUAAAAAGGCCAAAGUAUCAAAAAUUGCUAUUAUCUCUGCAACAAAGAUUAUAUGACAUGUGUGAAGAAAAAGCCAGAAUGAAUUCAGUGUAUGUCUCCUGAAGGCAAAUGAUAUUAACAAAUAUUAUAAAAAGCAGUGGCAGUAAACAGAAAAUAUUUCAAGGUA